rnacentral:rRNA from 1 species
GAUGAACGCUAGCGGCAGGCCUAAUACAUGCAAGUCGAACGGUGUCUUCGGACAUAGUGGCGCACGGGUGCGUAACACGUAUGCAACCUACCUUACAUUGGGGGAUAGCCUUUCGAAAGGGAGAUUAAUACCGCAUAAGACAGUAGCUGGGCAUCCAGCAGCUGUUAAAGAUUUAUCGAUGUAAGCUGGGCAUGCGUCCAAUUAGCUAGUUGGUGAGGUAACGGCUCACGAAGGCAAUGAUUGGUAGGGGAACUGAGAGGUCAAUCCCCCACACUGGCACUGAGGUGCGGGCCAGACGCCUACGGGAGGCAGCAGUAGGGAAUAUUGGGCAAUGGACGCAAGUCUGACCCAGCCAUGCCGCGUGCAGGAUGAAGGCGUUAUGCGUUGUAAACUGCUUUUAUACAGGAAGAAACGACUCUUGCGAGAGGCAUUGACGGUACUGUAUGAAUAAGCACCGGCUGACUCCGUGCCAGCCGCCGCAGUAAUAC